rnacentral:rRNA from 1 species
GAUGAACGCUAGCUACAGGCUUAACACAUGCAAGUCGAGGGGAAACGGCAUUGAGUGCUUGCACUCUUUGGACGUCGACCGGCGCACGGGUGAGUAACGCGUAUCCAACCUUCCCAUUACUGUGGGAUAACCUGCCGAAAGGCAGACUAAUACCGCAUAGUCUUCGAGGACGGCAUCAGAUUUGAAGUAAAGAUUUAUCGGUAAUGGAUGGGGAUGCGUCCGAUUAGCUUGUUGGCGGGGUAACGGCCCACCAAGGGUACGAUCAGUAGGGGUUGUGAGAGGAAGGUCCCCCACAUUGGAAAUGAGACACGGUCCAAACUCCUACGGGAGGCAGCAGUGAGGAAUAUUGGUCAAUGGACGGAAGUCUGAACCAGCCAAGUAGCGUGCAGGAUGACGGCCCUAUGGGUUGUAAACUGCUUUUGUAUGGGGAUAAAGUUAGGGAC